GGGGGUUAAAUUUUACUUGUAUUAGGUAUUUAUAUUAAAUUUAUCAUAUGAUUUAAUGAGAUGAAAACUUAAUUAUGAGUUGAGUGAUAUAUUAUGUAUUUAUUGAUUUAAUAUAAACAUCUGAUAACAUAUGUGACAUGACCAAUACAGUGUUUACUUAGAGAUAUUUUGAAAUAGGGUUAGAACGGCUAAUUUAACCUUAGAAACUUGUAAAUAAUGACCUCGUUUUUUCUAUUCCUCUCUACUUAAAUACUUGACAAAGUUCGUUUGACAUAUAACUCAUGUAACAUAAGUCUCAAAUAUGUUAACUUUUGCCGAUUGAGCUAAACCCUAAGGGGGUGGGGUGUAUCUAACUAAUUUGAUGGAUAUAGUUAACUUUCACAAGUGAGUAAAAUAACAAAAAUGAUGCGAAAUAAUUGAGAUACAAACAAAGUAACACGAACAUCAGAAUCAUCAAAAAACACAUCUAUUAAAUUGAAAGAUUUUAGAAAUGUAAUAGGUCUCAAGCUCGCGUUCGAUCACAUUUUCUUUUUGAAAAAAUUUUAAAAUAUUUGUAUCUUUUGAUAAGAUUUUGAAUAUCUAAUCAGACUUCCACAUACAAAACUUCAAUCUUUCACCAAAACAUCCAAACACAAUUUCAAAAAAAAAGAUAAACUCAAAAUUUUCAAAUUUCAAGUUUCAACUUCAGAAUCUACAAUCUCCGAAUCUUGCUUAGCUUUACUUGUUGGGAACUAAAAGAGGUGUGGGGUUUUAUUAGUGUCAAUCAAUGUCAAGCCCAUGCCCAAAUAACACAACACAAAGCUAACACUAUUGGCUUCAUUAUGUUUGUUUAAUAAGACAGAUAGUCUCACACUGUGUUGGGAAUAGACAUAUACAAACUCACAAGGCACAAAGGAUUUCUCUUUCAAUGUCCUUAAAUUGUCUCUUUAACCCUCUUUUCCCCCUCUUCUUUCUCACUUCCUAUAACACAUAAUUUUAAGGAUAGGACAACUCUUGUUCAUCAAACAUACAGACAAACAAACUAAGAAGUUUCACUAAAAGGGUGUUUGAGGAAGGGUAAAAGGUCUCUUCAUUCUUGAUAAGAAGUCUCGAGUUUAAAUCUUGUAAUGAAGUAAAGAUCUCUCCAUUCUUCACGAGAAGUCUCGAGUUCAAAAUCUUGAAAAGGAAACUUUUUUUUCUUGGGAGUAGGAGCAAAUAAGUGUUUCAUGUAAUGGUGUAUAGUGGAAUGACAACGAAGAAGUUUCGAGUUUGAAUCAUGAGGUUUUCUUUGGACUGAUUUUGGUGCUGAAAAAAAUUGGUGGAAAAUUAUCAAACAGUUGGUGUGCAAUGAAGGUUCUUGUUGAUUUUGGUUCUGUAGAUUUGAAGAAAAUGUCAGAAAUGCAAAUGCAAGAAAAUACUUACUUUGUGGGUUUCAAAGUUGGAUUUUUUCUGCUUGAAAUGGAUUUUUCCGGCAGUUCUUGAUUUUCCGGUGGAUUGACGACGGUGGACGGUGGUGAUAUUGGCGGGGACGGCUCAAUCUUUUCUCUCUGAAAAAAUGGUACUCUUGUAUAUCAUUUUGAUCUUAAUUUUUAUUUUAUUUUUCUACAAUUAAUUUUGGUUUUUUUAUUUUUAAUGUUAUUUUUGUUGUAGAAAAUUUGGAAUUAAUUGUAUUAUUAGUAUUAUCUUUUGGAAGAAGGAAAUUAUAUAGGAUUUAUACAUAUUAUUAUUACUUGAUUUAAUUGCUAAAUAAUAAUCUUGUUUUUGUCCCAAA